AGUGUAGAGGCCCUGUGUCUGGACCUAAUUGGAAAUCUUGCUAGAUGGAUCAGUGAACAAUGGUGACACUGCCUUGGUGGAGAUCCAGUUUUGCCAGCACCAUUUGUUGAAGAUGCCAUCUUUCCUCCAUUGUGUGUUCUUGGCACCUUUGUCAUAUAUUGGGAGGCUGAAAUUUCGUGUACUCAGGGUCUUCUUGCAGCCUCAGCUGAUGUGGAACUUGCUGUGUAGACCGGGUUGGCUUCGAUCUCAUAGACAGCCACCUGCCUCCCCUUCCCAAGAGCUGUGAUGAAAGCACUAUUCACAACGGUCAAGUUAUGGAAUCAACCAACAUGUCCAACAACACAGAAAUGGGUAAAGAAAAUACAUAUGCAAUGGAAAAUUUUCAGCCAUAAAGAAGAAUGAAGUCAUAUCAUUUGCAGGAAAAGGGCUACAACUAGAGGUAGUCAAAUUAAAAAAUAAGCUAGUCUCUGAAAGAGACUAUUUUCUCUCUUUUGGUUCCUAGAUUUCAUGUAGAUACAGAAAAUAAUGUACACAUAGAUGACAUGAAAGGAGAAAUGAAGCUGUCUGGGGAUCAAGGGGCCUAACAGGAGGGGGAAGGGGGAGAAAAUGAGGGUAUGGUACGAGAGCAAUACACUCAAUGUAUACUAUAUAUGUGGAUGAAAAGUAAAACAAUAAUUUAAAAGUAUCAUUUCAUCUGUCAAAUUAGUUUUACACAUGACCAUAUUUUAUAUAGAAUGUUAGUUUUAUAUGUUUGACCUUUCUCAUUUGUUAUAUUUCUUGCUCAUGUGUUCAAUUUGACAUUUAUUUUUAACUGUUUUAAACAGAUUUGUUCUGGAGUCCGUAUGUGGUGGAGGCAAGGAACUUCACACUGCUUCCUCUUCUUGGUGUCAUUUUUACAUGCAAGCUUCUGCUUGGUUGACCUUAAUCUGAAGGAAUUCUGUGAAAUCUGGGUUUAAAGUACAUUCCUCUACAAAGAAUUUGUUUCCCAUCAGGUGAUCCAGAGCUUACAAUUUUAUAUAAAUAAUGUGAAUCUGAGUCUACAUGCAAAGAUAUUUAAAUGUAACACACACACACACACACACACACACACACACACACACACUUACUUAAAUGUUGCCUCAACUUCUCAGGAGAUGUUUUUCCCAUUUUAUUCAAAGUCAAGGUUGGAUGGAUGUCUCUGAAAAGUUUCAAAAGCAUUAUCUCUUCAGCUUACUCCUUGAGUUUAAAACUAAGUCAUUCAUCAUUGAAUUAAUGUAUUUUCAGGAAUAAUAAUUUGUUUAGUUUUAUAAUCAUUAUUCAUAUCUGUCAACUAGUUUUCAAUGUACAUCAAGUCAUUUUGUGACUUCUCACAAAAAAGUUAAUUUUGCAUUAUUUAAAAUGCAUCACUUUUGCUGGGUAUGGUGGUGCAUACCCUCUAUCUCAGCACUGGGGGGGGGGGUCAGAGGCAGGUGAAUCACUGUGAGUUUGAGGCCAGCCUGAGCUACCUAGCACAUUUCAGGCCAGCCAGGACACAUAGUGAGACACUGUGUCAAAAAAAAGGAGGUAUAUUUAGAAUACCCAUUUACUAGCUGAGAACCAGCUCAGGGGUAUGUACCUGCCUACUAUGUGCAAAAGAUCUAGGCUCAAUCCCUGGUAUUGAAAAAGAAAAGUUGCAGACAAAUGGAUGAAGACAAGUAAAAGCCAUCUUCUUCACAAAACAAAACACUCAAAAACUAAGAGAAAACUGUUCAAGUGAAGUAUUUUUGAAUUCUAAAUCUGUCCUUCAACAACAAAAAAAGCAGUUCUGUAGUUCACGGUCUAAUGCAUUCAGCAACUUAAUGUCAAAAGUCUGAAGGCAGUUUGUUUCUCUAAAGUAUUUUAUGUUUUUUAAAUGAUAUUUUAAAUUUAACUUUAUUGUUUUAUUUGCAGUGCUGGGGACAGAACCCAGGGUUGUAUGCAUGCCAAGCAAGUGCUCUACUACUGAACUCUAGCCCUAGCCCAUCUUUCUAAAAUUCUUAUGGAAAUUCUAAUUGUUUUGCCUCAAGCUAUUUCUAAUACAUGUCAUUAAAGUGUGACCUUAAUCUGUAGUCAAACAUUGGUGAGGCCAGGAUAUGUGACUUACAUUAUAAAUAGUACUUUUAAAAGUGCCAAAUGACAAACCUUUUUGUUCUCUCAUGUACACAGGAAUUUUAGACAUUUCUUCAUUAUGAAUCUCAUUGGUAAACUUAACAUAAAUGAGGCAAUGGUGAACCAGUCCAUACUUGGGUGGAAACACUACAAUUUCUCAAUCUUCUUAUUUAAAGAGCGAACACACAGGAAAUGAACAAUGAGAGAAAGAG